rnacentral:rRNA from 1 species
UACGAAGGGGGCUAGCGUUGCUCGGAAUGACUGGGCGUAAAGGGCGCGUAGGCGGACAUAUUAGUCAGGCGUGAAAUUCCCGGGCUUAACCUGGGGGCUGCGUUUGAUACGGUGUGUCUAGAGUUUGGAAGAGGGUCGUGGAAUUCCCAGUGUAGAGGUGAAAUUCGUAGAUAUUGGGAAGAACACCGGUGGCGAAGGCGGCAAGCUGGUCCAUUACUGACGCUGAGGCACGAUAGCGUGGGGAGCAAACAGG